rnacentral:rRNA from 1 species
AACAACUAUUGGAAACGAUAGCUAAUACCAGAUAUUCCCUAAGGGGGAAAGAUUUAUCGCCUUUAGAUGAGCCCGCGUCGGAUUAGCUUGUUGGUAGGGUAAAGGCCUACCAAGGCAACGAUCCGUAGCUGGUCUGAGAGGAUGAUCAGCAAGAUUGGGACUGAGACACGGCCCAGACUCCUACGGGAGGCAGCAGUGGGGAAUAUUGCGCAAUGGGGGAAACCCUGACGCAGCGAUGCCGCGUGAGUGAAGAAGGCCUUAGGGUUGUAAAACUCUUUCACCGGUGAAGAUAAUGACGGUAGCCGGAGAAGAAGCCCCGG